UUAAAAAACCAUGCCGAAGACAGCAGGCGCGAGAGCGUAAAUUUUAUUUAUAAAAUGCCUGCCGAGGAAAAGUGAUUUAUCAGAUCUUAAUUUUCCCUUCGGAUGUUAUGUCCGAAGGGUUUUUUGAUAA
rnacentral:sRNA from 1 species